rnacentral:rRNA from 1 species
UACAGAGGGUGCGAGCGUUAAUCGGAAUUACUGGGCGUAAAGCGUGCGUAGACGGUUAUUUAAGUCGGAUGUGAAAGCCCCGGGCUCAACCUGGGAAUUGCAUUCGAGACUGAAUAGCUAGGGUGCGGUAGAGGGAAGCGGAAUUUCCGGUGUAGCGGUGAAAAUGCGUAGAUAUCGGAAGGAACAUCAGUGGCGAAAGCGGACUUC